GCCAUGGCUGAUGCGCGAUUACUAGCGAAUCCAGCUUCACGAAGUCGGGUUGCAGACUUCGAUCCGAACUGAGAGAGGCUUUUGGGAUUAGCAUCCUGUCACCAGGUAGCUGCCUUCUGUACCCCCCAUUGUAACACGUGUGUAGCCCCGGACGUAAGGGCCGUGCUGAUUUGACGUCAUCCCCACCUUCCUCACAUCUUACGACGGCAGUCUCUCUAGAGUCCUCAGCAUGACCUGUUAGUAACUAAAGAUAAGGGUUGCGCUCGUUAUGGCACUUAAGCCGACACCUCACGGCACGAGCUGACGACAACCAUGCAGCACCUUCACAUUUGCCUUACGGCUAUACUGUUUCCAAUAUAUUCAAAUGCAAUUUAAGCCCGGGUAAGGUUCCUCGCGUAUCAUCGAAUUAAACCACAUGUUCCUCCGCUUGUGCGGGCCCCCGUCAAUUCCUUUGAGUUUCACCGUUGCCGGCGUACUCCCCAGGUGGAAUACUUAAUGCUUUCGCUUGGCCGCUUACUGUAUAUCGCAAACAGCGAGUAUUCAUCGUUUACUGUGUGGACUACCAGGGUAUCUAAUCCUGUUUGAUACCCACACUUUCGAGCAUCAGUGUCAGUUGCAGUCCAGUGAGCUGCCUUCGCAAUCGGAGUUCUUCGUGAUAUCUAAGCAUUUCACCGCUACACCACGAAUUCCGCCCACCUCUACUGUACUCAAGACAGCCAGUAUCAACUGCAAUUUUACGGUUGAGCCGCAAACUUUCACAACUGACUUAACUGUCCACCUACGCUCCCUUUAAACCCAAUAAAUCCGGAUAACGCUCGGAUCCUCCGUAUUACCGCGGCUGCUGGCACGGAGUUAGCCGAUCCUUAUUCAUAUGGUACAUACAAAAUUCCACACGUGGAAAACUUUAUUCCCAUAUAAAAGAAGUUUACAACCCAUAGGGCAGUCAUCCUUCACGCUACUUGGCUGGUUCAGGCCUGCGCCCAUUGACCAAUAUUCCUCACUGCUGCCUCCCGUAGGAGUUUGGACCGUGUCUCAGUUCCAAUGUGGGGGACCUUCCUCUCAGAACCCCUAUCCAUCGAAGGUUUGGUGAGCCGUUACCUCACCAACUGCCUAAUGGA
rnacentral:rRNA from 1 species